AAGGAAAGAAAGAAAAAGAAAAGAAAGAAGGAAAGAAGGACGGAAAGAAAGAAGGAAAGAGAGAGAAACAGUAGAUGCUGCAGGGUGGCCUGGGUUCUGGACCGUGACCCCUGGAUUUGUACAAAGACAGGAGGGAUGCCAGCCGUCCUCCGGAGUCUGUAGAACUGUUUUUGAUAAUCAGCACUGGAGUCUCCUCUCAGCUCCUCCCUGGGCACAGCACAGUGAAAAGAGCAUGAGCUUUGGACUCACACGGGCCCGGAACAGAACUGUGAUCAUGGAUAGUAAUCCCUCUGAGCCUCAGUUUCCUCAUCUGUGAAAUGGGAGCAGUGUGGCAACUUCACACAAGUGUGGGCGGAGGGGUUGAGAUGACUCGUACAGCCCGCUGACCACAGCAGAGCAUGGAGACCGGGCGCUGUGGAGUGACUGGAAAUGCAGGCGUACGACAUUUCUUUUACUACGGACUGUAACGCCCCA